rnacentral:lncRNA from 1 species
AGGAGGAAGAUCACUCGGUUCUGUGCCGUCAGGUUCCAAACAUGAGAGCACACAGCCAUGAAGCCCUGCCCCAUUCAGCCAGCCCUGUGCAAAGUUUUCCAGAUAUAUGACCUUCCCUACUGUCUCCUGAACCCCACGGGACAUGUGGCAUUAGCCACACUUACAGGGCCUCAGAAAGGCUAAGCAGCUCGCCCAGUGACACACAGCAGAGGUGACAGGACCCCAUCCCCAGCUUUAGGUCACGGCUUCCCUCCUCACUUAUACGAACAGCAGACACUACACAGAACAGAGGCGCCAGGCCCUGCCCGAAGUGCUUAAUGCAUGACGUGCUUCAGCUCUGUGUCCCCACCCAAAUCUCAUCUGGAAUUGUAAUCCCCAGGUGUUAAGGGAGGGGCCUGGUGGGAGGUGAUUGAUUGGCUCAUGGGGGCGGAUUCCCCCAUGCUGUUCUCAUGAUAGUGAGGGAGUUCUCACAAGAUCUGGUGGUUUUGUAAGGGGCUCUUUCCCCUUUGCUUUCUCUUCUCUCUCCUGCCGCCAUGUGAAGAUGGUCCUUGCUUCCCCUUUGCCUUCUGCCAUGACUGUAAGUUUCCUGAGGCCUCCCCAGCCAUGUGGAAAUGUGAGUCAAUUAAACCUUUUUCCCAGUC